UGAAUACGGGAUGCUAAGGCGUCGAAGUAGUGUAUGUCAUACUUCCAAGAAAAGCUUGCACUGUCAUAAAUAAAAGAUGCCUGUACCAUAACCGACACAGGUGGGUAAGUAGAGUAUACUAAGGGGCGCGAGAUAACUCUCUCUAAGGAACUCGGCAAAAUAACUCCGUAACUUCGGGAGAAGGAGUGCCUUAUUCUUAAGGUUGCAAUAACAAGAUCCAAGCAACUGUUUAUCAAAAACACAGGUCUCCGCUAAGUCGUAAGACGAUGUAUGGGGGCUGACGCCUGCCCAGUGCCAGAAGGUUAAAGAAGUUGGUUAGCAAUUGCGAAGCUGGUAACUGAAGCCCUGGUGAACGGCGGCCGUAACAAUAACGGUCCUAAGGUAGCGAAAUUCCUUGUCGGGUAAGUUCCGACCCGCACGAAAGGCGUAAUGAUUUGGAUGCUGUCUCGGAGAGGGGCUCGGUGAAAUAGACUUGUCUGUGAAGAUGCGGACUACCUGCACCAGGACAGAAAGACCCUAUGAAGCUUUACUGUAACUUGAAAUUGAAAUUGGACUUUAUUUGCGCAGUAUAGGUGGGAGGCGUUGAUUAUAAUCUUGCGGGAUUAUUGGAGCCAUCAGUGAGAUACCACUCUUGUAAUGUUAGAUUUCUAACUUUGAAUCAUUAUCUGGUCAAAGGACAAUUUCAGGCGGGCAGUUUGACUGGGGCGGUCGCCUCCUAAAUGGUAACGGAGGCGUACAAAGGUUUCCUCUGAACGGUUAGAAAUCGUAUCUAGAGUGUAAAGGCAUAAGGAAGCUUGACUGUGAGACCUACAAGUCGAGCAGGGACGAAAGUCGGUCUUAGUGAUCUGACGGUACUGAGUGGAAAGGCCGUCACUCAACGGAUAAAAGUUACUCUAAGGAUAACAGGCUGAUCUCCCCCAAGAGUUCACAUCGACGGGGAGGUUUGGCACCUCGAUGUCGGCUCAUCGCAUCCUGGGGCGGUAGUACGUCCCAAGGGUUGGGCUGUUCGCCCAUGAAAGCGGUACGCGAGCUGGGUUCAGAACGUCGUGAGACAGUUCGGUCCAUAUCCGGUGUAGGCGUUAGAAUAUUGAGAGGAGCCUUCUUUAGUACGAGAGGACCGAGAAGGACAUACCUCUGGUGUACCAGUUAUCGUGCCAACGGUAAACGCUGGGUAGCUAUGUAUGGAGUGGAUAACCGCUGAAAGCAUCUAAGAGGGAAGCCCACCUCAAGAUAAGUAUUCUCA
rnacentral:rRNA from 1 species